GACGAACGCUGGCGGCGUGCUUAACACAUGCAUGUCGAACGGAAAUGCCCUGCUUUUGUGGGUUGCUCGAGUUGCGAACGGGUGUGUAACAAGUGAGUAACCUGCCCUUGACUUUGGGAUAACUUCAGGUAACUGGGGCUAAUACCCGAUAGGCGCUCCUGCUGCAUGGUGGGGGUUGGAAAGUUUCGGCGGUUGGGGAUGGACUCGCGGCUUAUCAGCUUGGUGGUGGGGUAGUGGCUUACCAAGGCUUUUACGGGUAGCCGGCCUGUGAGGGUGACCGGCCACAUUGGGACUGAGAUACGGCCCAGACUCCUACGGGAGGCAGCAGUGGGGAAUAUUGCACAAUGGGCGGAAGCCUGAUGCAGCAACGCCGCGUGCGGGAUGACGGCCUUCGGGUUGUAAACCGCUUUCGCCUGUGACGAAGCGUGAGUGACGGUAAUGGGUAAAGAAGCACCGGCUAACUACGUG
rnacentral:rRNA from 1 species